GUAAGAGUUCCAGGGCUGAAAGCUGUGAACGUCUUUGCUAAGUCAUGAGGGUUGGAGGACAGGGCUAGUCAUGAGGGCUGAUGGAAUCAGUUGACAGUCAAGAUGGGUCAUCAAGCCAGAGGAAGACCAUGAGACCAGCUGGACCCAGGGAGUAGCCAGCUCCACCUCAACAGUGUCCUGUAUGUCUCCCUUACCUUACCCUGAAGUACAUCUUGCUGAAGAAUUACGCACAUGUUUAAAGAACAGCAGCCUGAGAUGCAAAAUAAGAACAGCUGUUGCCUCGUUGGAACAAACAUUCCUGAGGGCCUAAGGAGUGCGAAGAAUUUCAGCAGCAGUUCUUAGGAGACCACAGUUAGAGAUGCCACGAUGCAGAUCAUGCUGGUCUUGAACUCACGAUCCUGCUGUCUCAGCCCUAGGAGUAGCUGGGCAUACAAGCAUGCACCACCAGGCCUGACAAGACAGACUCUUUCUACUAGUAAAUUAACACCAUCAACCCUUGGUAUCUGCCAGUUGGUUCCAUAUCUGAAGAUUCAGCUAAAACUAUAGACUGGAAAAGAAAAAAAAAGAUUUGUAUGUAUACUAAGCACGCACGGACUUUCACCCCUGCUAUGAUUCCCUGGACAAUAAAGGGCAACAACUAUUUACAGAGCUUUUGCAUGACUUCAGGAAUUGCAUCUUAUCUAGACCCAAUUUAAAGCACACAGAAGGACAUAUGCUG